ACGGGUGAGUAACACGUGGAUAACCUACCUAUAAGACUGGGAUAACUUCGGGAAACCGGAGCUAAUACCGGAUAAUAUUUUGAACCGCAUGGUUCAAAAGUGAAAGACGGUCUUGCUGUCACUUAUAGAUGGAUCCGCGCUGCAUUAGCUAGUUGGUAAGGUAACGGCUUACCAAGGCAACGAUGCAUAGCCGACCUGAGAGGGUGAUCGGCCACACUGGAACUGAGACACGGUCCAGACUCCUACGGGAGGCAGCAGUAGGGAAUCUUCCGCAAUGGGCGAAAGCCUGACGGAGCAACGCCGCGUGAGUGAUGAAGGUCUUCGGAUCGUAAAACUCUGUUAUUAGGGAAGAACAUAUGUGUAAGUAACUGUGCACAUCUUGACGGUACCUAAUCAGAAAGCCACGGCUAACUACGUGCCAGCAGCCGCGGUAAUACGUAGGUGGCAAGCGUUAUCCGGAAUUAUUGGGCGUAAAGCGCGCGUAGGCGGUUUUUUAAGUCUGAUGUGAAAGCCCACGGCUCAACCGUGGAGGGUCAUUGGAAACUGGAAAACUUGAGUGCAGAAGAGGAAAGUGGAAUUCCAUGUGUAGCGGUGAAAUGCGCAGAGAUAUGGAGGAACACCAGUGGCGAAGGCGACUUUCUGGUCUGUAACUGACGCUGAUGUGCGAAAGCGUGGGGAUCAAACAGGAUUAGAUACCCUGGUAGUCCACGCCGUAAACGAUGAGUGCUAAGUGUUAGGGGGUUUCCGCCCCUUAGUGCUGCAGCUAACGCAUUAAGCACUCCGCCUGGGGAGUACGACCGCAAGGUUGAAACUCAAAGGAAUUGACGGGGACCCGCACAAGCGGUGGAGCAUGUGGUUUAAUUCGAAGCAACGCGAAGAACCUUACCAAAUCUUGACAUCCUUUGACAACUCUAGAGA
rnacentral:rRNA from 1 species